rnacentral:rRNA from 1 species
AACGAACGCUGGCGGCAGGCUUAACACAUGCAAGUCGAACGCCCCGCAAGGGGAGUGGCAGACGGGUGAGUAACGCGUGGGAACAUGCCCAAAGGUACGGAACAACUCCAGGAAACUGGAGCUAAUACCGUAUGUGACCGAGAGGUGAAAGAUUUAUCGCCUUUGGAUUGGCCCGCGUUGGAUUAGCUAGUUGGUGGGGUAAAGGCCUACCAAGGCGACGAUCCAUAGCUGGUCUGAGAGGAUGAUCAGCCGCACUGGGACUGAGACACGGCCCAGACUCCUACGGGAGGCAGCAGUGGGGAAUAUUGGACAAUGGGCGCAAGCCUGAUCCAGCCAUGCCGCGUGAGUGAUGAAGGCCUUAGGGUUGUAAAGCUCUUUCGCCAGGGACGAUAAUGACGGUACCUGGAUAAGAAGCCCCGGCUAACUUCGUGCCAGCCGCCGCAGUAAAAC